GACUUUGAACUUCAAAUAUAUGAAUUUAUUGGUCAUUAGAUGCACCAGUACUAGUAGACAACCGUUGAGAUGAACCAACUGCCACAAUUUUAUUCAUAUGAACAAUAUUGAAGAAGAGUUGGCUCCAGACGAGUUCAGAUGUAAGAACAAUAUACUCAAAAAGGUUUCCUGCUGCCUUGCAUUCACUUAUCAUCCCUUUAUUAAAAGGCAAGGUUGGCCAGCUUGGCCUCCAUUAAUAAAAAAGAUGCAAAUUUAAGAGGCAAACAAUGCAUUUUGCCCACAAUCUUCAUGCAAUUAGUUACUUUGAACCAACACACUCUCUCACCUUUCCGAUAUCAACUUCUUCCAGCAACACCAGAUAAUUAACCACAAUAGAACACCAACAACAAACAGAGAGAGCCUUCAGCCUUUGUGUGGUCAUCAGCAAUUCAAAGAUGUCAUGAACAAGCCUGAAUGAUUCUAAUCAAAGUACAACCACUUGCUAAAAAACAGUAGUCUCUGAAGCAAGGAAUCAGUAUACACAUUGCAAUUAAUGUAUACAACAAGAUAUUUCUCAAUGUAAAUGAUAACUAAAUGAAUUCUAUAGGCAGCACACUAUAGACUAAACAAAUUCUUUAGGCCGGCAUAUUUACUGCCUUGUGCUAAGGGGAAUUGAUCACUACCCAAACUAUGAAUACAUCAUAGCAAAAAAAUUAUCUGUGAUCAGGAAAAGCACAUGAACAAAAGCACAUCAUAAUCUUGUUCAACAACACCGUCCAAUAUCAAGUCCAUCAAUAUAUACGUCAUGUCCAAACAAUUACAAAUGCUAUAUUAACAUAUGUUAAGUGGACAUAUCUGAUACAGGUGACUAGUUGCUAGAUUUGUAGUGUACCUUGAAGAAUCUGCACACUCUGUCAGACCUAUUUGAAAUGGCUGCAUCAAGGCCAAUGAAGGGUCUUCAAGUAACAUUGAAAUUACAGAAAGUAUGCACAUCAAAAGUCAUCAUCAGACUCGAAUAAUACUGCCCAAAUCCAAUUCUAAAAAGAACAUGAUCUACUGAUCCAAAUAGAUUACCAGAUAUGUGAAUCAACCUAUAUGAUGGACAUCAUUCUGCAUAACAAAUAACGUUAACUAGACUCCCAAGUUGGUAAUCGAAAUUAUAAGAAAACCAAAAUUAAGUGCUACAUCUAACAUUUUGUACGUAAGCCAUUUGUGAUCAUAUCUUCAUUGUUCUUUCACCAACUAAAAUAACAAAAGACUUCAUAACAUUAAGAAAACAACUGCCUGGUCACCCUAACAGAACCCCAUCAAUCAAUCUUUUUU
rnacentral:lncRNA from 1 species